CCUACGGGUGGCAGCAGUGGGGAAUAUUGGACAAUGGGCGAAAGCCUGAUCCAGCCAUGCCGCGUGUGUGAAGAAGGCCUUCGGGUUGUAAAGCACUUUCAGUGGGGAAGAAAGCCUUGGGGCUAAUACCCUCGAGGAAGGACAUCACCCACAGAAGAAGCACCGGCUAACUCCGUGCACAGCAGCCGCGGUAAUACGGAGGGUGCGAGCGUUAAUCGGAAUUACUGGGCGUAAAGCGCGCGUAGGCGGUCUGAUAAGCCGGUUGUGAAAGCCCCGGGCUCAACCUGGGAACGGCAUCCGGAACUGUCAGGCUAGAGUGCAGGAGAGGAAGGUAGAAUUCCCGGUGUAGCGGUGAAAUGCGUAGAGAUCGGGAGGAAUACCAGUGGCGAAGGCGGCCUUCUGGACUGACACUGACGCUGAGGUGCGAAAGCGUGGGUAGCAAACAGGAUUAGAUACCCCUGUAGUC
rnacentral:rRNA from 1 species